rnacentral:rRNA from 1 species
AGCGAACGCUGGCGGCAGGCUUAACACAUGCAAGUCGAGCGGGCAUCCUUGUGGUGUCAGCGGCAGACGGGUGAGUAACGCGUGGGAACGUGCCCUUCGGUUCGGAAUAACUCAUGGAAACUUGAGCUAAUACCGGAUACGUGCGAGAGCAGAAAGGUUUAUCUGCCGAAGGAUCGGCCCGCGUCUGAUUAGCUAGUUGGUGAGGUUAUGGCUCACCAAGGCGACGAUCAGUAGCUGGUCUGAGAGGAUGAUCAGCCACACUGGGACUGAGACACGGCCCAGACUCCUACGGGAGGCAGCAGUGGGGAAUAUUGGACAAUGGGGGCAACCCUGAUCCAGCCAUGCCGCGUGAGUGAUGACGGCCUUAGGGUUGUAAAGCUCUUUUCUCCGGGACGAUAAUGACGGUACCGGAGGAAUAAGCCCCGGCUAACUUCGUG